AGCAGCCGCGGUAAUUCCAGCUCCAAUAGCGUAUAUUAAAGUUGUUGCAGUUAAAAGCUCGUAGUUGAAUUUCGGGGUUAGUAGGUUGGUCAUGCCUCUGGUAUGUACUGGUCUCACUGAUUCCUCCUUCCUGAUGAACCUUAAUGCCAUUAAUUUGGUGUUUUGGGGAAUUUGGACUGUUACUUUGAAAAAUUAGAGUGUUUAAAGCAAGCUAACGCUUGAAUACAUUAGCAUGGAAUAAUGAAAUAGGACGUUCGAUCCUAUUUUGUUGGUUUCUAGGAUUGACGUAAUGAUUAAUAGGGAUAGUUGGGGGCAUUAGUAUUCAAUUGUCAGAGGUGAAAUUCUUGGAUUUAUUGAAGACUAACUA
rnacentral:rRNA from 1 species